GGUUAAGCGACUAAGCGUACACGGUGGAUGCCCUGGCAGUCAGAGGCGAUGAAGGACGUGCUAAUCUGCGAUAAGCGUCGGUAAGGUGAUAUGAACCGUUAUAACCGGCGAUUUCCGAAUGGGGAAACCCAGUGUGUUUCGACACACUAUCAUUAACUGAAUCCAUAGGUUAAUGAGGCGAACCGGGGGAACUGAAACAUCUAAGUACCCCGAGGAAAAGAAAUCAACCGAGAUUCCCCCAGUAGCGGCGAGCGAACGGGGAGCAGCCCAGAGCCUGAAUCAGUGUGUGUGUUAGUGGAAGCGUCUGGAAAGGCGCGCGAUACAGGGUGACAGCCCCGUACACAAAAAUGCACAUAUUGUGAGCUCGAUGAGUAGGGCGGGACACGUGGUAUCCUGUCUGAAUAUGGGGGGACCAUCCUCCAAGGCUAAAUACUCCUGACUGACCGAUAGUGAACCAGUACCGUGAGGGAAAGGCGAAAAGAACCCCGGCGAGGGGAGUGAAAAAGAACCUGAAACCGUGUACGUACAAGCAGUGGGAGCCUCUUUAUGGGGUGACUGCGUACCUUUUGUAUAAUGGGUCAGCGACUUAUAUUCUGUAGCAAGGUUAACCGAAUAGGGGAGCCGAAGGGAAACCGAGUCUUAACUGGGCGUUAAGUUGCAGGGUAUAGACCCGAAACCCGGUGAUCUAGCCAUGGGCAGGUUGAAGGUUGGGUAACACUAACUGGAGGACCGAACCGACUAAUGUUGAAAAAUUAGCGGAUGACUUGUGGCUGGGGGUGAAAGGCCAAUCAAACCGGGAGAUAGCUGGUUCUCCCCGAAAGCUAUUUAGGUAGCGCCUCGUGAAUUCAUCUCCGGGGGUAGAGCACUGUUUCGGCAAGGGGGUCAUCCCGACUUACCAACCCGAUGCAAACUGCGAAUACCGGAGAAUGUUAUCACGGGAGACACACGGCGGGUGCUAACGUCCGUCGUGAAGAGGGAAACAACCCAGACCGCCAGCUAAGGUCCCAAAGUCAUGGUUAAGUGGGAAACGAUGUGGGAAGGCCCAGACAGCCAGGAUGUUGGCUUAGAAGCAGCCAUCAUUUAAAGAAAGCGUAAUAGCUCACUGGUCGAGUCGGCCUGCGCGGAAGAUGUAACGGGGCUAAACCAUGCACCGAAGCUGCGGCAGCGACACUAUGUGUUGUUGGGUAGGGGAGCGUUCUGUAAGCCUGUGAAGGUGUGCUGUGAGGUAUGCUGGAGGUAUCAGAAGUGCGAAUGCUGACAUAAGUAACGAUAAAGCGGGUGAAAAGCCCGCUCGCCGGAAGACCAAGGGUUCCUGUCCAACGUUAAUCGGGGCAGGGUGAGUCGACCCCUAAGGCGAGGCCGAAAGGCGUAGUCGAUGGGAAACAGGUUAAUAUUCCUGUACUUGGUGUUACUGCGAAGGGGGGACGGAGAAGGCUAUGUUGGCCGGGCGACGGUUGUCCCGGUUUAAGCGUGUAGGCUGGUUUUCCAGGCAAAUCCGGAAAAUCAAGGCUGAGGCGUGAUGACGAGGCACUACGGUGCUGAAGCAACAAAUGCCCUGCUUCCAGGAAAAGCCUCUAAGCAUCAGGUAACAUCAAAUCGUACCCCAAACCGACACAGGUGGUCAGGUAGAGAAUACCAAGGCGCUUGAGAGAACUCGGGUGAAGGAACUAGGCAAAAUGGUGCCGUAACUUCGGGAGAAGGCACGCUGAUAUGUAGGUGAAGUCCCUUGCGGAUGGAGCUGAAAUCAGUCGAAGAUACCAGCUGGCUGCAACUGUUUAUUAAAAACACAGCACUGUGCAAACACGAAAGUGGACGUAUACGGUGUGACGCCUGCCCGGUGCCGGAAGGUUAAUUGAUGGGGUUAGCGGUAACGCGAAGCUCUUGAUCGAAGCCCCGGUAAACGGCGGCCGUAACUAUAACGGUCCUAAGGUAGCGAAAUUCCUUGUCGGGUAAGUUCCGACCUGCACGAAUGGCGUAAUGAUGGCCAGGCUGUCUCCACCCGAGACUCAGUGAAAUUGAACUCGCUGUGAAGAUGCAGUGUACCCGCGGCAAGACGGAAAGACCCCGUGAACCUUUACUAUAGCUUGACACUGAACAUUGAGCCUUGAUGUGUAGGAUAGGUGGGAGGCUUUGAAGUGUGGACGCCAGUCUGCAUGGAGCCGACCUUGAAAUACCACCCUUUAAUGUUUGAUGUUCUAACGUUGGCCCCUAAUCGGGGUUGCGGACAGUGUCUGGUGGGUAGUUUGACUGGGGCGGUCUCCUCCUAAAGAGUAACGGAGGAGCACGAAGGUUGGCUAAUCCUGGUCGGACAUCAGGAGGUUAGUGCAAUGGCAUAAGCCAGCUUGACUGCGAGCGUGACGGCGCGAGCAGGUGCGAAAGCAGGUCAUAGUGAUCCGGUGGUUCUGAAUGGAAGGGCCAUCGCUCAACGGAUAAAAGGUACUCCGGGGAUAACAGGCUGAUACCGCCCAAGAGUUCAUAUCGACGGCGGUGUUUGGCACCUCGAUGUCGGCUCAUCACAUCCUGGGGCUGAAGUAGGUCCCAAGGGUAUGGCUGUUCGCCAUUUAAAGUGGUACGCGAGCUGGGUUUAGAACGUCGUGAGACAGUUCGGUCCCUAUCUGCCGUGGGCGCUGGAGAACUGAGGGGGGCUGCUCCUAGUACGAGAGGACCGGAGUGGACGCAUCACUGGUGUUCGGGUUGUCAUGCCAAUGGCACUGCCCGGUAGCUAAAUGCGGAAGAGAUAAGUGCUGAAAGCAUCUAAGCACGAAACUUGCCCCGAGAUGAGUUCUCCCUGACCCUUUAAGGGUCCUGAAGGAACGUUGAAGACGACGACGUUGAUAGGCCGGGUGUGUAAGCGCAGCGAUGCGUUGAGCUAACCGGUACUAAUGAACCGUGAGGCUUAACCUU
rnacentral:rRNA from 1 species